ensembl:miRNA
UGUCAUUUUUGUGAUUUGCAGCUUGUUUAAUUAGUCAAGUUGCAUAGUCACAAAAGUGAUCAUUGG